GCUUUCAGAUACUUAAAUGGAAUACACUUUUCAUUGGAGGUAGUGCAAAAUUCGAGACACAAGGAUUGUAAGUUUUGACAUCUGGUUCAACAAGAAAUCUACUGGAGGAACUCGGUGCUCCAGUGUGGAGUGAUGUGCCAAUGAAAUGGUUUCUGCUGUGGACCUGUUGUGCUGAUAGGCAAACUACACUGGAUCAAGUCACCUCUCAGGCACCAUAUACAGUCGGCCCUCCUUAUCCACGAGUUCCGCAUGCGUGAAUUCAACCAACCGCGAAUCGAGAAAACCCGG